UAGUAGAGACGGGGUUUCACCGUGUUAGCUAGGAUGGUCUCGAUUUCCUGACCUCAUGAUCCGCCCGCCUCGGCCUCCCAAAGUGCUGGGAUUGCAGGCGUGAGCCACCGCGCCCGGCUUAUAAGCCCUCUUUAAGUAGACUUCCAUUCCUGCCCUAGAACUUGCUUCCGUCUAUUUUCUUGCUUUAUGCCCCUCAGUCAAAUUAGUCAAAUUCUUUUUUCUGGGGAGGCAAGGGCUGAAGUUGCUACUGGUCCCCAGAUCUCUGGACUCCUAAUUCUGGUCAACUAUUCAUCCUUUCAAUUACCUGAAAAAAAGAAAUUCCGUGUCUGCUUUCAAAUGGUGCUGAAGCUAUCCAUAGAAAAUCUAGUUAUCAGAAGACACCCAACCUUGACAAGAAUUUAAUAUGCUGUGGAAAAAACACCCAGGAACAGAUUAUGCCCCACAAGCCUCUGGAUGAUUUAGACAGAGCCUUUUCAACUUCACAUCCUCAAGGACUC